rnacentral:rRNA from 1 species
AGCUCCAAGAGUGUAUUUUUAUGUUGUUGCUGUUAAAAAGCUCGUAGUUGGAAGUUGAUACAUUUUGGACUAUUCCGGCAUGCGCUGUGUAAUGGUACGAGUGUAUUUUGUUAAUGGGUUACUCACUUUUGUUAUUAAUUUAGCAGGAGUAAAACAUGCGUCGUUUGCGCGGCGUGUGGAGUUCCAUUUCGUUGACUGUGAACAAACAAGAGUGUUCAAAGCAGGCUUUUUAGCUUGAAUUUUUUAGCAUGGGAUAAUGGAAUAAGCUCAGUUUUGAUGAGAUACAUCCUUCGGGGUGAGUUUGUUGGUUUUGAUCAAAACAGAGAAUGAUCGAUAGGAACAGUUGGCGUUGAUCGUACUUUGAGGUCAGAGGUGAAAUUCAAUGAUUCUCGAAUGACGA